CCUACGGGAGGCAGCAGUGAGGAAUCUUGCUCAAUGGGCGAGAGCCUGAACCAGCCAAGUCGCGUGAAGGAUGAAGGAUCUAUGGUUUGUAAACUUCUUUUAUAUGGGAAUAAAAUGUUCUACGUGAGGGAUUUUGUAUGUCCCAUAUGAAUACGGAUCGGCUAACUCCGUGAGAGCAGCCGCGGUAAUACGGAGGAUCCGAGCGUUAUCGGGUUGUAUUGGGUUAAAAGUGAUGGUGGGUGGAUUGUUAAGACAGUUGUGAAUGUUUGCGGCUCAACCGUAAGAUUGCAGGUUAAACUGGCAGUCUUGAGUACGUUAGAGGUGAGCGGAAUUCGUGGUGUAGCGGUGAAAUGCUUAGAUAUCACGAAGAACUCCGAUUGUGUAGGCAGUUCACUGGACUGCAACUGACACUGAGGCUCGAAAGUGUGGGUAUCAAACAGGAUUAGAUACCCUUGUAGUC
rnacentral:rRNA from 1 species